UACGUAGGGUCCGAGCGUUGUCCGGAAUCACUGGGCGUAAAGGGCGCGUAGGUGGUUUGAUAAGGGUGUGGUGAAAGUCCGGAGCUCAACUCCGGAUCUGCCGUGCCGACUGUCAAACUCGAGGGCUGUAGAGGCAGACGGAAUUCCGGGUGUAGCGGUGAAAUUCGUAGAUAUUCGCAAGAACACCAGUGGCGAAGGCGGCUCACUGGCCCGGUACUGACGCUGAGGUGCGAAAGGCGUGGGGAGCAAACAGG
rnacentral:rRNA from 1 species